UAGGAGACCCAUGAGCUUAGAUUAAAACCUGUCCACCAACUGAAAUCCCAUUCUACAAAUGUGGUGAGAGUCCUCUACUGUGCAUCCUAGCGGACUCUCCACCCGGCACCUUCUAUUCUCACUGGCUCCCAGGCCAUGGUUACAGGUUUCAAGGUGACAGGUCACACUUGCUUCAAUACUUCAG
rnacentral:lncRNA from 1 species